rnacentral:rRNA from 1 species
UAAGCCAUGCAAGUCUCAGUACAUGCCGCACUAAGGUGAAACCGCAAAAGGCUCAUUAAAUCAGUUAUGGUUCCUUGGAUCUUAAACAGUUACUUGGAUAACUGUGGUAAUUCUAGAGCUAAUACAUGCAAACAAGUCCCGACCAGAGAUGGGAGGGACGCUUUUAUUAGAUCAAAACCGAUCGGCGUCCGGCUCCGGCCGGCGCCGUCUCUUUUGGUGACUCUGGAUAACUUUUAGCCGAUCGCACGGUCACAGUACCGGCGACGCAUCUUUCAAAUGUCUGACUUAUCAACUGUCGAUGGUAGGCUCUGCGCCUACCAUGGUUGUAACGGGUAACGGGGAAUCAGGGUUCGAUUCCGGAGAGGGAGCCUGAGAAACGGCUACCACAUCCAAGGAAGGCAGCAGGCGCGCAAAUUACCCACUCCCGGCACGGGGAGGUAGUGACGAAAAAUAACGAUACGGGACUCAUCCGAGGCCCCGUAAUCGGAAUGAGUACACUUUAAAUACUUUAACGAGUACCAAUUGGAGGGCAAGUCUGGUGCCAGCAGCCGCGGUAAUUCCAGCUCCAAUAGCGUAUAUUAAAGUUGUUGCGGUUAAAAAGCUCGUAGUUGGAUCUGUGUGCCACGCUGUCGGUUCACCGCCCGUCGGUGUCAACUGGCAUGUCUGUGGGACGUCCUGCCGGUGGCGGUACGGGCUGCCGGCGCUGCGUAGGGGCACAACCCCGAAGCACGCCGGCGUGUCCCGGUCCGCCGAUCCAAUCCCGCCGCGGUGCUCUUCACUGAGUGUCGAGGUGGGCCGGCACGUUUACUUUGAACAAAUUAGAGUGCUCAAAUCAGGUCGUAUUUAGGCCUGAAUGCGUUAU